rnacentral:lncRNA from 1 species
GCGCGCUCACUCGCGUGCACCUGAUAUGCAAGCAGCGUCUGCAAACCCCUACGGUAGAUUUUCAUGUUGGGCUUAUGGAAAUCCGUUUUACUGCCUCGGGAUUAUAAACUACCAUUUUCCCAAAGUUUUGAUUGGGAAUGAUGCUGAGCUGGGCACAUGACGUCAUAGCAUUUGCCAAUAUGUAAACAAACAGCGCAAGGAUCAGCUGGUGUCCGCCUAAAAAAAAUAAGCAUUUAAUCUUGUGUGGUGCGACAGAAGGGAUUUAAAAUAUGUAUCUUCGGUGGAUUUUUCAAAGCUGAUGCAGUUGUUCCCGCAAUGUUCUGUGAGAAAAAGGGCAUCUGAAGGAAAAACGGAUGUCGAGCGCUCUGUGCUUUCAAAGGCAAGAGUGUUUCUUGCUAGGUCAGUGGGAUCAGGACGUUUUAGCCUCCUGGGGAGUAAACCUUGAACUGAGUCCGGUUUCUGGUUUUUAUCCUCCUUGAUCCGGGACCCAGACGCUGGUCUGCUCUCCUGCAGGUACAUGAAGCUCAUUCUUUAAAGGGGGCGUGGAAGGAAUUCCUGGAAAUAUGUCCCUUCCCUUCCGCCGU